rnacentral:lncRNA from 1 species
CAAAUUAUUGUUUACAUUCUUUCUCUCCUAGGGAACAGAACUGUGAGUGAGAACAACCAAGGAUUGUGGGAAUCAUUUCAGCAGUAACGAUAGUAUUUGUUUCUGGACUGACAGAGCCUUUCCCUUUCCCAAGUAGAUUCGUCCGGGUCACCCACAGUCAGAAGCAGAAUUUAUAGUCUCCUCCACCAAGUGGGCUUGGUGUGCAACUUAUGGAGGCACCAAUACUGGCCUAUCUGCCUUUUCCGUUGUCAGCGUUGACUUUAUCACCAUUGAGCCACUGAACUGACCAUCUUGCUCUCACCAAAGUGGGGAGAGCUUUUUGAGGCCCACUGCGUCCUGUGCAAAGAGUGCUUCUGGAAGUCUCCACUUGGGACCAUCGAUACAUGCUAUUCUACCUGUUUGCUUUGAUGCCUUCAAUUGUCUAGCUAGCCCUUUCUUCAGUGGCGUGGUUGGAUUCCAAGAGUUUCUCCUGUUGAAGAUCCCUUUAGGGAGUCUCCUGGCUUUCUUUUGCAGAACACUUUCAGCAAAUUUUUAUUUUCCUCUGCUGCCUCCACCUCACCCCAUACAA